rnacentral:rRNA from 1 species
AUACGGAGGAUGCAAGCGUUAUCCGGAUUUAUUGGGUUUAAAGGGUGCGUAGGCUGACGUGUAAGUCAGAGGUGAAAUCUCCGGGCUCAACCUGGGAACUGCCUUUGAUACUGCAUGUCUGGAGUUCGGAUGCCGUGGGAGGAAUGGGCAGUGUAGCGGUGAAAUGCAUAGAUAUUGCCCAGAACACCGAUUGCGAAGGCAUCUCACGAAUCCGACACUGACGCUGAGGCACGAAAGCGUGGGGAUCAAACAGGAUUAGAUACCCUGGUAGUCCACGCAGUAAACGAUGAUAACUAACCGUCGGCGAUAGACAGUCGGUGGCCAAGCGAAAGCGAUAAGUUAUCCACCUGGGGAGUACGUUCGCAAGAAUGAAACUCAAAUGAAUCGACGGGG